AUUGAACGCUGGCGGCAUGCCUUACACAUGCAAGUCGAACGGCAGCAUGAUCUAGCUUGCUAGAUUGAUGGCGAGUGGCGAACGGGUGAGUAAUACAUCGGAACGUGCCCUGUAGUGGGGGAUAACUAGUCGAAAGAUUAGCUAAUACCGCAUACGACCUGAGGGUGAAAGUGGGGGACCGCAAGGCCUCGUGCUAUAGGAGCGGCCGAUGUCUGAUUAGCUAGUUGGUGAGGUAAAGGCUCACCAAGGCGACGAUCAGUAGCUGGUCUGAGAGGACGAUCAGCCACACUGGGACUGAGACACGGCCCAGACUCCUACGGGAGGCAGCAGUGGGGAAUUUUGGACAAUGGGGGCAACCCUGAUCCAGCAAUGCCGCGUGUGUGAAGAAGGCCUUCGGGUUGUAAAGCACCUUUGUCCGGAAAGAAAUCGCACUUACUAAUAUUAGGUGUGGAUGACGUACCGAAGAAU
rnacentral:rRNA from 1 species